rnacentral:rRNA from 1 species
ACUUUGAUGAAACAUACAACUGACAUCCGCCAGGGAACUACAAGCGCCAGCUUAAAACCCAAAGGACUUGGCGGUGCCUCAGACCCACCUAGAGGAGCCUGUUCUAGAACCGAUAACCCCCGUUCAACCUCACCACCUCUUGUUUCCCCCGCCUAUAUACCACCGUCGUCAGCUUACCCUGUGAAGGCCUUAUAGUAAGCAAAAUGGGCAAAACCCAAAACGUCAGGUCGAGGUGUAGCGCAUGGGGUGGGAAGAAAUGGGCUACAUUCUCUAAAUUAGAGCACUACGAACCACGCUGUGAAACCAGCGUCCAAAGGUGGAUUUAGCAGUAAAUAGAAAAUAGAGAGUUCU